rnacentral:RNase_P_RNA from 1 species
ACAUUCGGGUAAUCGCUGCUGAUUCAGCAGAGGAAAGUCCAUGCUCGCACGGUGCUGUGAUGCCCGUAGUGAUCGUGCCUGGCCAAACAAUAAGCCAGGGCAGUCUGGAUUUAGUCUGGAUUGACGGCGGGAAAAGUACCUAAGUCAUUUUUGAUAUGGUGCGAGUACCCUUAAAGUGCCACAGUGACGUAGCUUUGUUGGAAACAACAAAGGUGGAACGCGGUAAACCCCACGAGCGAGAAACUCAAAUUUUGGUAGAGGCACUCUUUCUGAGGAACUGAACAAGGAAAGAGGCAGGAAGUUCUUCCUGCAGAUAGAUGAUUACCGCCUGAGUACGAGGCUUGCCUAUAGCCGAUUGUAGUACGAUGGUACAGAACAUGGCUUAUAUGA